CCUACGGGGGGCAGCAGUAGGGAAUUUUCGUCAAUGGGCGCAAGCCUGAACGAGCAAUGCCGCGUGAACGAGGAAGGUCUUCGGAUCGUAAAGUUCUGUUGAAGGGGAAAAAGAGCGGAGAGAGGAAAUGGUCUCCGAUUGAUAUUACCCUUCGAGGAAGUCACGGCUAACUACGUGCCAGCAGCCGCGGUAAUACGUAGGUGGCGAGCUUUAUCCGGAAUGAUUGGGCGUAAAGGGUGCGUAGGCGGCCUGCUAAGUCUGGAGUGAAAGGUACCGGCUCAACCGGUACAGGCUCUGGAAACUGGCGGGUUAGAGAGCAGGAGAGGGCAGUGGAACUCCAUGUGUAGCGGUGAAAUGCGUAGAUAUAUGGAGGAACACCAGUGGCGAAGGCGGCCGCCUGGCCUGUUACUGACGCUGAGGCACGAAAGCGUGGGGAGCAAAUAGGAUUAGAUACCCGAGUAGUC
rnacentral:rRNA from 1 species